GCAGUUGAGUUCAACUGCUGCAGUUUCAACUACACAAGAAGGUCCAAAUGCUGCAGUUGGAACUACAUCCAAAUUGGCCGUAGUUCCAACUACAGUAGUUGGUGAGGGAUAGGAUCACUCAUAAAUUAACAAUAAUAAAUAAAUAAAUAAUAUAUGUAUAUAGGUAAAUAAAAAUACUUGUAAAUAAACUCAUACUAAUAAAAUUUUUUAGACAAUACAAGUUUUGUGCAAAAAAUUAAAUUUUUUAAAUUUAUUUUAUUUAAAAUAUAAAUAUAGUUUUUUUUAAAAAAUUUUAUAGAAUGUGAUCGUGUAUGUUAAUUUAAUAAGUUUUAAUUAAUUAUAAUUAUUAAAUUUGAUAAAAAAAAAUGAGAGAAUCGUUUAAAUUUUAAAGUUUGAUUUACAUAUUAAAAUUAAAUAAAUUAAAAAUUUUAAAUGUGUCGAUUAAUAAGUUGAAGAAUAUUAUAUAUAUCUACUUAUUUAUUUAUAAAUAGUAAAUUUAAAUGAUUAAUAAACUUAUACAAUUAUUUUAUGUUUAGUGAAGGUAAUCUCACCAUUCUAUCUGAAAAGGUGACAAAAUUCACAAAUACAACUAUCAGCUUCAUAUUACCAAACAGAAGAAAUGUAACUGCAGCAGUUGCAACUGCAUAAAACGAAACAGAAGAAAUGUAACUGCAGCAGUUACAACUGCAGCAUUUGCAACUGCAUGUAUUUUCAACUACACUGUUUCUGCAACUACAUCCAACCAAACAGCCCCUAAUGGGGUUUUUUAGUGAUUAUUUGGCAUCUAAAAAAAUAUGAAUUUUUCUUUUCAAAAACACAAUUUUAAAUUUCUAAAUAAAAAUUUAAAAUAUAAAAUAUUUUUUCAAUGAAAUUACUAAGUUUUCUACGCACCAACCA
rnacentral:lncRNA from 1 species